UUUUGUCUGCUCGGCUGCAGCCUGAGCUGCUGCUUGACUUUCCUGAGCUGCCUUUGGACCUCGCCUUGCCUUAAUCUGGACGUUUGGACCUAUUCUCACGAGGUGUGCUCAGAUUUCCAUGAGAUGCUAAACAAUGAACGAUUUCAAAUCUCAGCUAUAAGCAUCAGCUGCUAAGUAGCACCUGCUGAGUCAGCUGGGAGCCACACAGUCCUAUCACUGAUGUAUAUAUUCUUUUUGAAAUGAAAGAAAGGCUGCAAUUACCAAGGACCAUCAUGGCUUCUGAUCCUCCCCACCUUCCA